GGUGGAGCCAGGGCGCGAGGGGGCUGGAGGUGGUUCACGACUGGGGCGUGGCGUGGGGCGGCCACCCGGGAACUCUGAGAAGAGCUGGGCUUCACUCCGGUUUCGCUGCGCAGGGAGAACCCGAGGGCGUGGCCUAUGGGGAGGGCCAGGUGCGCCAGGUGACUGCAGACGGGCAACGCUGCCGCAGGGCCUAAAGGUGUAUAUGUGGGAGGGAUGUCAGUCAGCACUCGCUCGCUCUCAUGGCCCCGUCUGGACCGAUUUUACCACAGAAACUGAAGAGUUCCUCGUAGUGGGCAAAUAUAACCGAAAGAAGGGAAAGGAUUAGGUGAUGAUUCCAAACCAUACACUAUCAGCUCCUCGACCUUGUAGUAGAAACUACAUAUUUCACUCGAUUCGGUGAAGUCUGGAAGGAACAGAGGCAAAAUGAACUACUCAAGAGUUUGAAGACCCGGGGAGGAGUGAGCAGCCAAAACUUUAUAUAGAAAACUGAAGAACUUGCAUCAAAGCAAGUUCAAGUGGAUGUUAAUCAAAGUCCGUCAUCUUACUUUUCUCUCCGCCAGUUGCUUCAGGUAAAGCUGCUGGUCUAAAGCGUUCGCUUGAAUCUGGGCAAUACUAGUCUGCACGUGUUCUGAAAACCCAGUUCUACUGAAGUCCCCCAUAAGAGUAGGGUGACCUAGAAUUUAGAGGAAAUUUGGUAACCCCCUUCCCAAAUUUAUGGUGUUUCUAAACGUCAGACCAUCUACAAGGCUGAUUUGAUGAAAGUGGUGAAUCCGCAUUUGAUAAUUGAAGUGCUGUGGCAUAUGGGCUGUAGUAAUCACAGAAACAGUACCUCAAGAAGGAAGAAACUUAGAUCCCUGAGUCACUGCUUGAAAGAGUAUCUCUGGGCUCCAAGGAGUACCACAUCAAGCUAUGAUGUAAAUAAGAAACUUAUGUAUUGUGUUAAGGCAUUGGUAGUUAGAGGGUCCUUGUUUCAGUAUUUAGUUUUAAUUACUCUGACAAAAUACCAUUGAAAAGUGUUCAGUUCAGUUCAGUCACUCAGUCGUGUCCGACUCUUUGCUGCCUCAUGGACUGCAGCACAUCAGGCUUCCCUGUCCAUCACCAAAUCCUGGAGCUUACUAAAUAUUAAUAUUUAAUAUCUCAGAAAUAUUUGAAAUGUACCAUGUACCACACUGAUCUUUCCCCUACUCUUAGACCUCUUCUAGCAUCUUCAUCCAGAGAAGGCAAUGGCACCCCACUCCAGUACUCUUGCCUGGAAAAUCCCAUGGAUGGAGGAGCCUGGUGGGCUGCUGUCUAUGGGGUCGCACAGAGUCGGACACAAUUGAAGUGACUUAGCAGCAGUAGCAGCAGCAUCUUCAUAUCUUUGAAUGGCUUCUUCACCCAUUUCAGUUGAGCAAUAUAGAAACCUAAACACCAUCCCUGGUACCUCUUUAAACUUUUCUCUCAUUUCAAAUGAAUGGCUAUACUUCUCAGUUUUAUUUCCUAUACUACUAUUCUUGAAUUACUCACCCUUGCAAUAGCACUGCAGUAAGCUAAGUCUGAAUAAAAGACUUCCUUACUGUCUGUCCCCCUGUCGA
ensembl:lncRNA